UUGGCUGGUCUUGGGUUUGUGCUCAGAUCACAGGCUGUGGAGCGGCGGCUCGGGGCGGAGGCUACGCGACUGGGAAGGCGCCGGAGGAGUUGUCCCCGCUGCUCAGAGGCGGGUCUGAGGCACUGGGUUGCGGUGACUCUGCUGCCAGGUCUCCGUUCCGAUCGCCCGCCGCUCCCGCCCCGCCCACAGUGUCGAUGGCGGUGGCCGCUCUGAGGGACCCGGCUCCUGUGAGUGCACUUCCUGGGCCUCACCGCCCUCAGUCCCUCUAACUCUAAAGCCCCACGUGCAGCCCAGGCCCCGGCGUCCGGGACCGUGAGGCGCUGGUGGACGACAUCCGGGAUGACAGAAUGAGAGAGGGUCACAGGCGGAGCGGCAGGCCGUGUGAAGACGUCGGGGUACGAUCGAGUCGGGAGUAUUCUGGAACCCUGAAGUCCGCCGGAACAGAGAGCAAGGGGACAGGAGUCAGACCUGGGAUGGCUCCCAGAGAAGCUGGCUGGGUGUCUGUUCUAGAGAUGACGGGAACAGUGGCAGGUUUUGGAGCAGAGGAGGGAGGUGAUCUGAUCAAGUCGUCAUAAGGCUCUCUGUGGCUGCAGCAUGGAGAAGAGACCAAGGGGGUAUGAAGGUGGUAGGAAGACCAAGGAAGAGGCUACUGCCAUAGUCCAGUUCUGGAGACUGGGAAGUCCAGAUCAAACAGCUGGCAGAUUCCAUUCCUGGCGAGGAACUCUUCCUGUCUUGCAGAUAGCUGUGUCCUCACAUGGCCUUGGUACAAGGCUGUGUGACGUUUGAAGAUGUGGCCAUUUAUUUCUCCCGGGAGGAGUGGGGGCUCCUCGAUGAGGCUCAGAGGUUCCUGUACCGUGAUGUGAUGCUGGAGAACUUUGCA